rnacentral:rRNA from 1 species
AACGAACGCUGGCGGCAUGCCUAACACAUGCAAGUCGAACGAGACCUCCGAGUCUAGUGGCGCACGGGUGUGUAACGUGUGGGAACCUGCCCUUAGGUUUGGAAUAACUCCCCGAAAGGGGUGCUAAUACCGGAUAAUGUCUUCGGAUCAAAGAUUUAUCGUCUUUGGAUGGGCCCGCGUUGGAUUAGCUAGUUGGUAGGGUAAAAGCCUACCAAGGCGACGAUCCAUAGCUGGUCUGAGAGGAUGAUCAGCCACACUGAGACUGGGACGCGGCCCAGACUCCUACGGGAGGCAGCAGUGGGGAAUAUUGGACAAUGGGCGAAGGCCUGAUCCAGCUAUGCCGCGUGAGUGAUGAAGGCCUUAAGGUUGUAAAGCUCUUUUACCCGGGAUGAUAAUGACAGUACCGAGAGAAUAAGCUCCGGCUAACUCCGUG